rnacentral:misc_RNA from 1 species
AAUCAAUUUAAUUGUAAUUAGAAAUUCUAAAUUUAAUAUCCCUGUCUACUCCUUAAAUUAUAAAAUAAUUUAAUAUCUAAAUUUAAACUUAAUAAUUUAUAAAAAUACAGACUAUGCUUAACGCAUAGACUUUUGCUUGUCAAUAUUCCCGAGCGCGGGAAGGAGCGCCUUGCUCGCGUGUCUUUGCUUCUUUUUCUUUGCACUUCGUUUCCGCCGAACCUCGAGACCUAACCUCGACCCUAACUCGGCUUAAAUCCCGCUGGGGAUUUAUUUUUAGAUUUAUAUCUUUAAUUAUACUUUGCUACAAAUCGAGUCACUGCCCUCGAUUAAUAACGGGCUGACUGAUUACCGGCAUUUACAC